rnacentral:tRNA from 1 species
GGGCCCGUAGCUCAGCUUGGCAGAGCGGUUGGCUCUUAACCAAUAGGUCGCGCGUUCAAAUCGCGCCGGGCCCG